UCUGUAGCAAGGUUAACCGAAUAGGGGAGCCGGAGGGAAACCGAGUCUUAACCGGGCGUUAAGUUGCAGGGUAUAGACCCGAAACCCGGUGAUCUAGCCAUGGGCAGGUUGAAGGUUGGGUAACACUAACUGGAGGACCGAACCGACUAAUGUUGAAAAAUUAGCGGAUGACCUGUGGCUGGGGGUGAAAGGCCAAUCAAACCGGGAGAUAGCUGGUUCUCCCCGAAAGCUAUUUAGGUAGCGCCUCGUGAAUUCAUCUCCGGGGGUAGAGCACUGUUUCGGCUAGGGGGCCAUCCCGGCUUACCAACCCGAUGCAAACUGCGAAUACCGGAGAAUGUUAUCACGGGAGACACACGGCGGGUGCUAACGUCCGUCGUGAAGAGGGAAACAACCCAGACCGCCAGCUAAGGUCCCAAAGUCAUGGUUAAGUGGGAAACGAUGUGGGAAGGCCCAGACAGCCAGGAUGUUGGCUUAGAAGCAGCCAUCAUUUAAAGAAAGCGUAAUAGCUCACUGGUCGAGUCGGCCUGCGCGGAAGAUGUAACGGGGCUAAACCAUGCACCGAAGCUGCGGCAGCGACACUCAGGUGUUGUUGGGUAGGGGAGCGUUCUGUAAGCCUGCGAAGGUGGCCUGUGAGGGUUGCUGGAGGUAUCAGAAGUGCGAAUGCUGACAUAAGUAACGAUAAAGCGGGUGAAAAGCCCGCUCGCCGGAAGACCAAGGGUUCCUGUCCAACGUUAAUCGGGGCAGGGUGAGUCGACCCCUAAGGCGAGGCCGAAAGGCGUAGUCGAUGGGAAACGGGUUAAUAUUCCCGUACUUGGUGUUACUGCGAAGGGGGGACGGAGAAGGCUAUGUUGGCCGGGCGACGGUU
rnacentral:rRNA from 1 species